UCAGAAAGAAGUGGGCGAAAUGGGUUGCUCCAGAAGCAUUCUCUCCUGACGAACGUCCGCAUCUGCGGCAGGCAUCCUGAGAGGUUGUCAGGUAUCUUGGAAACUAGGACAAAGGAGGUUUAUAUAUUGCAGAGCACUUGGUCAACCAACCUGGACACAGCAUCUUAUUUAAUAAUACAGAAAUGCUGGACCACUCUAACAGCCACCAUGUCAGACUGCACAGAGAAGCCAUUGAAAUCCAUAAACAUGUGGAGCAUUUUAACAGAAAGGAGGAAACCAUGAAAAUGAACAAAAUCUUGACACCAGUAUUUUAAAAACUCUAAAAUCGGGAUAGUGAACAAAGAACAACACUCCGAAAACAAAGGAAUUUAAGACAUGAAACAAUCAGUGCCAGUUAACACCUCCCAACAAAGGAUUCCCCAGGCAGUAAUCAGCCAGACCUUGAAGCUGCAAAGCUAUUCAAGGUUAUUAAUUGCAAAAUUCACACUUGCCUCCAACAGGCAAGAGUUCUUUCUCUCACCUUGUACCUUCCACAGAUAUGUAAACCCCACUUUUCUAGUUUCCAAUAGACCUCACAACCUCUGAGGAUGCCGGCCAUAAAUCUGGGUGAAAUGUCAGGAGAGAAUGCUUCUGGAACAUGGCCAUAAAGACUGGAAAACUCACAGCAUCCCAAAGAUUCCAGCCAUGAAACCCUUUGACAACACAUUUGUUGCUUCCACUCCAAAUUCAAAAGUAAGCCAGUGUGAGCUGUAUUCCUUCCCCUGCUGGAUCAUACCCAUUUAAACUUCUGCGGCAGGCCAGUGGGCAGAAAAUAAAUGCGAGAGGGGUUGAAACAUUCCCCCCAGAUUACUUUUGAGGCCGUUGUCUCCUGAUCUGGUCCGAGAUCUCAACCAGGCCAUGAAAUUACCAUAAUUGUGCAAAAGUCCUUCACAGGUAUCCUUGGAGCAUGUUGAAAUGUAUCCUCUGUGGAUGCAGGUGUCGUACAACAAAACUAUGCAGAAGCAUCACCAUAUCUUUAUCAGAGGAAACCAUCAUGAGAAGAGGAAUCUCAAAGAGCCAAGUGAAGAUGGAAGACGUUUGGUGGGCAUAAAACACUGGCUAUUGGAGGGAAAUAGAUGGAAACAAUGAGGCAGUGAGAUAGAAAAAAGGGCUUAGCUGCUUGAAAAGUGGAUGCAAGCACUCCACAAUGCAACAAUUUGCUACAGGUCGCACCUGUAAAGAAAAAUAGCUCAAGAUAAGAUUGAACAACAAAGGCAAUACGGAAGCAGUGUUGUUUUAAAAAAGGGGUCAUCAUUUUGCUUUGGCUCAUACAAUUGUAUCGUUGGGUACUUCCAAAAUAAACACCCAGAUUGUAGCUGAGGCUACUAAACAUU